CGACGUAAAGAAACUUAGCCUCACAGCUAGGGACAACAUUUAGAAAUGAAUGCUAAUACCUGAUAUUAUUGAUUUUAGGUCAUCUUAGAAUUAUGAAAGCUAUAAGCACUGUGAGAGAGCUUUGCGUCCCAUUAGCUAGUUGGAGAGGUAACAGCUCACCAAGGCGAUGAUGGGUAGCCGGCCUGAGAGGGUGAACGGCCACAAGGGGACUGAGACACGGCCCUU
rnacentral:rRNA from 1 species